rnacentral:rRNA from 1 species
AGAGUUGAUCCUGCGUCAGGACACGCUGCGGCGUGCCUACACAUGCAAGUCGACGAAGCUUGAUGAUGGAUUCUUCGGAAAGAAAUACUGAUAUGACUGAGUGGCGGACGGGUGAGUAACGCGUGAGUAACCUGCCCUUAGGAAAGGGAUAGCGUCUGGAAACGGACGGUAAUACCAUAUAAAGUAUAUUAACGGCAUCGUAGAUAUACCAAAGCUGAGGCGCCUAAGGAUGGACUCGCGUCUGAUUAGAUAGUUGGUGGGGUAACGGCCUACCAAGUCGACGAUCAGUAGCCGGACUGAGAGGUUGAACGGCCACAUUGGAACUGAGACACGGCCCAGACUCCUACGGGAGGCAGCAGUGGGGAAUAUUGCACAAUGGGCGAAAGCCUGAUGCAGCAACGCCGCGUGAAGGAAGACGGUUUUCGGAUUGUAAACUUCUGUUCUUAGUGAAGAAUAAUGACGGUAACUAAGGAGCAAGCCACGGCUAACUACGUG